UACAGAGGCCACGAGCGUUAGGCGGAAUCACUGGGCUUAAAGCGUGUGUAGGUGGAUCGGUAAGUACCUUGUGAAAUCCCACGACUCAAUCGUGGAACUGCUUGGUAUACUGCCAGUCUUGAGGUACUCAGGGGCGAGCGGAACAGACGGUGGAGCGGUGAAAUGCGUAGAUAUCAUCUGGAACGCCAAUGGUGAAGACAGCUCGCUGGGGGUAUUCUGACACUGAGACACGAAAGCCAGGGGAGCAAACGGG
rnacentral:rRNA from 1 species